CCUACGGGUGGCAGCAGUGGGGAAUAUUGGGCAAUGGGCGCAAGCCUGACCCAGCAACGCCGCGUGAAGGAAGAAGGCUUUCGGGUUGUAAACUUCUUUUCUCAGGGACGAAGAAAGUGACGGUACCUGCGGAAUAAGCCACGGCUAACUACGUGCAAGCAGCCGCGGUAAUACGUAGGUGGCAAGCGUUAUCCGGAUUUAAUGGGUGUAAAGGGCGUGUAGGCGGGACUGCAAGUCAGAUGUGAAAACCACGGGCUCAACCUGGGGCCUGCAUUUGAAACUGUAGUUCUUGAGUGCUGGAGAGGCAGACGGAAUGCCUGGUGUAGCGGUGAAAUGCGUAGAUAUUAGGAGGAACACCAGUGGCGAAGGCGGAUUGCUGGACAGUAACUGACGCUGAGGCGCGAAAGCGUGGGGAGCAAACAGGAUUAGAUACCCGUGUAGUC
rnacentral:rRNA from 1 species